CUUGAGGUGACGAAGUAGUGAAAGAUCUGCGUACCGACGGAUGUGUACGUUAAAGGGUGUAGAUAUAGCAUGGUUGGCAAAUCCGCCAUGUUGUCGAACCUGAUAGUACCGUGAGUCUUCGGACAAGCGGAUAAUGAUCCUAAUCAAACUUCCAAGAAAAACCUCUAAGCUUCAGGUAACUUCCGCCCGUACCGCAAACCGACACAGGUAGUCGAGGAGAGAAUCCUAAGGUGCUCGAGUGAUCCAUGGCUAAGGAACUAGGCAAAUUAACCCUGUAACUUAGGGAGAAAGGGUCCCCCGCGAGGGGGCGCAGAGAAAUGGCCCAGGCGACUGUUUAUCAAAAACACAUGGCUUUGCAAAAUCGCAAGAUGAAGUAUAAGGCCUGACACCUGCCCGGUGCUGGAAGGUUAAGAGGAGAUGUCAUUCGCAAGAAGAAGCAUUGAAUUGAAGCCCCAGUAAACGGCGGCCGUAACAAUAACGGUCCUAAGGUAGCGAAAUUCCUUGUCGGGUAAGUUCCGACCUGCACGAAUGGUGUAACGAUCUGGGCACUGUCUCAGCCAUGAGCUCGGUGAAAUUGAAGUAACGGUGAAGAUGCCGUUUACCCGCCACGGGACGGAAAGACCCCGUGAACCUUCACUGCAACUUAACAUUGAUAUUGGAUAUAAGAUGUGUAGGAUAGGUGGGAGACUACGAAGCGGGGGCGCCAGCCCUCGUGGAGUCAUCCUUGAAAUACCACCCUUCUUAUAUUUGGUGUCUAACCCCGCAAGGCGGGGGACAUUGUUUGGUGGGUAGUUUGACUGGGGUGGUCGCCUCCAAAAGAGUAACGGAGGCUUUCAAAGGUACCCUCAGCACGCUUGGUAACCGUGCGUAGGGUGCAAUGGCAUAAGGGUGCUUGACUGUGAGACCAACAAGUCGAGCAGGUACGAAAGUAGGACAUAGUGAUCCGGUGGUUCCAUAUGGAAGGGCCAUCGCUCAAAGGAUAAAAGGUACUCCGGGGAUAACAGGCUGAUCACUCCCAAGAGCUCACAUCGACGGAGUGGUUUGGCACCUCGAUGUCGGCUCGUCACAUCCUGGGGCUGGAGUAGGUCCCAAGGGUUCGGCUGUUCGCCGAUUAAAGUGGCACGCGAGCUGGGUUCAGAACGUCGCGAGACAGUUCGGUCCCUAUCUGUGGUGGGCGUUGGAAUUUUGAGAAGCGCUGUCUUUAGUACGAGAGGACCGAGAUGGACAUACCUCUAGUGUACCUGUUAUGGCGCCAGCUGUACCGCAGGGUAGCUACGUAUGGAGUGGAUAAGUGCUGAAAGCACCUAAGCACGAAGCCUGCUUCAAGAUGAGAAUUCCUUUAAGGGUCGUUGUAGACUACGACGUUGAUAGGCUGUAGGUCUAAAGUCAGUAAUGACAAAGCCGAGCAGUACUAAUUACCCGA
rnacentral:rRNA from 1 species